UGUGGUUUAACCCACAGAGCCACCCGCGUCCCUAGCUGGUAGGGUAUGAGUCUCUUAAUCUCAGGGUUGUGGGUUCGAACCCCACAACCUCUU